rnacentral:lncRNA from 1 species
GGGAGUGUGGGCCGCCUGUAUAUAAAGCCUGGUAGACGGACGUCAACACAGAACACUGGCACGCGACGACGCUACAACAUCUUCUGUACUAACACGCUCAUCAAACGACCAUGAACCCUAUACGAGUUGACCGAGGUAGCUGCAGUGUCACCACAAGAACAAUUCGGAGCGUCUACAAAAGUUCUCUUGCUUUGCUUUUUACCUGUUGAUGGAGAACUCGAUCGCAACAAUUCCUUUCCUACUCCAGUUCUACCGCGGUUAGUGGAUCCUUCCCACAGCAUUACAGUGAGUUUCCUAGUGUUAAACUACAAGAAAUUGGUCUCCAAAAAAACUGCUUUGUUAUUUCUUCUACCCCAUUUGUGGGUCAUGAGCUGUAUUGCAUUACAUUCUGUGCAAGUAAAGUCAAACUUGUACAUAUUGAAUAUCCAGUAUAUGUAACCAAUAAAGUUUUUCUAUUUAUGGAAUAAUCCAAA